rnacentral:rRNA from 1 species
ACGCCGCGUGCGGGAUGAAGGCCUUCGGGUUGUAAACCGCUGUCGGGAGGGAUGAAGUGCACGGGGGCUAUCCCCUGUGUUUGACAGAGCUCCGGAGGAAGCACGGGCUAAGUUCGUGCCAGCAGCCGCGGUAUACGAACUGUGCGAACGUUAUUCGGAAUCACUGGGCUUAAAGGGUGCGUAGGCGGCACUGUAAGUCAGGUGUGAAAUCCCCCGGCUCAACCGGGGAAUGGCGCUUGAAACUGCAGUGCUUGAGUGAGGUAGGGGUGCAUGGAACUUCCGGUGGAGCGGUGAAAUGUGUAGAUAUCGGAAGGAACGCCGGCGGCGAAAGCGGUGCACUGGGCCUUGUCUGACGCUGAGGCACGAAAGCUAGGGUAGCGAACGGGAUUAGAUACCCCGGUAGUCCUAGCCGUAAACACUGAGCACUGGAGCGGAGGGGUUUCGGCCUUUCCGCUCGCAGCGAAAGCGUUAAGUGCUCCGCCUGGGGAGUAUGGUCGCAAGGCUGAAACUCAAAGAAAUUGACGGGGGCUCACACAAGCGGUGGAGCAUGUGGCUUAAUUCGAGGCAACGCGAAGAACCUUAUCCUGGAUUUGACAUGUGCGGAUUAACUCUCUGAAAGGAGAGCCACGCUCUUCGGGGUGAACCGUGCACAGGUGCUGCAAGGCUGUCGUCAGCUCGUGUCGUGAGAUGUCGCGUUAAGUCGCUAAACGAGCGUAACCCCUAUCCUUANUUGCCAGCACGUUAUGGUGGGGACUCUAAGGAGACCGCCGGCGCCCAGCCGGUGGAAGGCGGGGAUGACGUCAAGUCCUCAUGGCCUUUAUGUCCAGGGCUGCACACGUGCUACAAUGGUGCGUACAGAGGGACACUAAGCCGCGAGGCCAAGCAAAUCCCAAAAAGCGUGCCCCAGUUCGGAUUGCAGGCUGCUACUCGCCUGCAUGAAGCCGGAAUCGCUUGUAAUCGCCGGUCAGCAAUACGGCGGUGC